GGAGAGGUCGCAUAGUGGCCGAGUGCGGAAGUUUUGAAAACUUCUGCUGACGCAAGUCAGCCGUGAGUUCGAAUCUCACCCUCUCCG
rnacentral:tRNA from 1 species